rnacentral:rRNA from 1 species
UACGUAGGGUGCAAGCGUUGUCCGGAAUUAUUGGGCGUAAAGAGCUCGUAGGCGGUCUGUCGCGUCUGCUGUGAAAACUCAGGGCUUAACCCUGAGCCUGCUUCCGAUACGGGCAGACUAGAGGUAUGCAGGGGAGAACGGAAUUCCUGGUGUAGCGGUGAAAUGCGCAGAUAUCAGGAGGAACACCCGUAGCGAAGGCGGCACUCUGGGCCGAUGACUGACACUGAGGAGCGAAAGCGUGGGGAGCGAACAGGAUUAGAUACCGUAGGUAGUCCAGACCCAAGUCUCGUCGACUGACCGA